rnacentral:rRNA from 1 species
GACGAACGCUGGCGGCGUGCUUAACACAUGCAAGUCGAACGGAAAGGCCCUGCUUUUGUGGGGUGCUCGAGUGGCGAACGGGUGAGUAACACGUGAGUAACCUGCCCUUGACUUUGGGAUAACUUCAGGAAACUGGGGCUAAUACCGGAUAGGAGCUCCUGCUGCAUGGUGGGGGUUGGAAAGUUUCGGCGGUUGGGGAUGGACUCGCGUCUUAUCAGCUUGUUGGUGGGAUAGUGGCUUACCAAGGCUUUGACGGGUAGCCGGCCUGAGAGGGUGACCGGCCACAUUGGAACUGGGAUACGGCCCAGACUCCUACGGGAGGCAGCAGUGGGGAAUAUUGCACAAGGGGCGGAAGCCUGAUGCAGCAACGCCGCGUGCGGGAUGACGGCCUUCGGGUUGUAAACCGCUUUCGCCUGUGACGAAGCGUGAGUGACGGUAAUGGGUAAAGAAGCACCGGCUAACUACGUG